rnacentral:rRNA from 1 species
GAUGAACGCUGGCGGCGUGCCUAAUACAUGCAAGUCGAGCGAACGGACGAGAAGCUUGCUUCUCUGAUGUUAGCGGCGGACGGGUGAGUAACACGUGGAUAACCUACCUAUAAGACUGGGAUAACUUCGGGAAACCGGAGCUCAUACCGGAUAAUAUUUUGAACCGCAUGGUUCAAAAGUGAAAGACGGUCUUGCUGUCACUUAUAGAUGGAUCCGCGCUGCAUUAGCUAGUUGGUAAGGUAACGGCUUACCAAGGCAACGAUGCAUAGCCGACCUGAGAGGGUGAUCGGCCACACUGGGACUGAGACACGGUCCAGACUCCUACGGGAGGCAGCAGUAGGGAAUCUUCCGCAAUGGGCGAAAGCCUGACGGAGCAACGCCGCGUGAGUGAUGAAGGUCUUCGGAUCGUAAAACUCUGUUAUUAGGGAAGAACAUAUGUGUAAGUAACUGUGCACAUCUUGACGGUACCUAAUCAGAAAGCCACGGCUAACUACGUG